GAGUUUGAUCUUGGCUCAGAACGAACGCUGGCGGCAGGCUUAACACAUGCAAGUCGAACGGACGUAGCAAUACGUUAGUGGCGCACGGGUGAGUAACGCGUGGAUAUCUGCCUUUUGGUUCGGGAUAACCUUGGGAAACUAGGGCUAAUACCGAAUGGUUCCUACGGGAUAAAGAUUUAUCGCCAAAAGAUGAGUCCGCGUCCGAUUAGGUAGUUGGUGGGGUAGUGGCCUACCAAGCCUGCGAUCCGUAGCCGGUCUGAGAGGAUGAUCGGCCACACUGGGACUGAGACACGGCCCAGACUCCUACGGGAGGCAGCAGUGGGGAAUCUUGGACAAUGGGGGCAACCCUGAUCCAGCGACGCCGCGUGGGUGAUGAAGGCCUUCGGUCGUAAG
rnacentral:rRNA from 1 species